rnacentral:lncRNA from 1 species
GGAAAAGGUUGCCAGAAAAAUAUGUUAAAGGGUGCCUCAAAGGCACUCACAUACACAUUUUAAAACUUGUGUCAAAGCGCUGACACUUCUGCGACAGCCAGGCUUGUGCUGUGACACAGUUUUGCCACUUCUGCAGCUGAAGGUCCCCACAGGUAUUUUGAAUUCCUCAGAAGGAGGGGUCUUUGUAGUCCUGUUUCAAUGGAGGCAUGCUGCCAGGAUUUGGGAUCUGCGUGUGAGCUACUGUGAUUUCCCUUUGGGCCCUCUCAUCUCUGCCAAACCUGAAGUGGACUUUCUUGAAAUCCCUUCCCUGCUCUCAGAGUGCUCAGUGGUCUUUAGCUCAGGGGCUGUGGAUCUCUGCAUUGGCAGAUGGCUUCAAGGGGACAUGCCACAAAGAAAAGUAAAUGUACUGAUGCCUACUGUCAUGUGGUCUACAGGAGGCUGAAGCUGUA